UCCGAUUUGAAUAUCGGCAGUCUCGCAUGAGUCCCCAACUAAAUGCUGGCAACAUGCGACGGGGGUUGCGCUCGUUGCGGGACUUAACCCAACGUCUCACGACACGAGCUGACGACAGCCAUGCACCACCUGUGAAGAUGCCCCGAAGGGAAGAUCGCUUUCACGAUCCGUCGCUCACUUUCAAGCCCAGGUAAGGUUCCUCGCGUAUCAUCGAAUUAAACCACAUGCUCCUCCGCUUGUGCGGGCCCCCGUCAAUUCCUUUGAGUUUUACCGUUGCCGGCGUACUCCCCAGGCGGGAACUUAACGCGUUAGCUGCGACACCGAAAGGCAACCCUCCCAACAUCUAGUUCUCAUCGUUUACAGCGUGGACUAC
rnacentral:misc_RNA from 1 species